rnacentral:lncRNA from 1 species
CCAAGCUGCUACCAGAGGGCGUGCCACCACUUCUCUGUGAGCAAGAGGGCCCUACAGUGUCCCCAGCUGUCAGCAGGGAGUGUGCUGCCAAUACACUCUGAGCAACAGCACCCUAAGUGCCCCCAGCAGCCAGCAGGGGGCAUGUCACCACCACACUGUGAGCAAGAGGGCCCGGCAGUGUCCCUAGCUGCCAGCAGGGGGCACAGGGCACCAAUCCCGGGAGUAUGAGGACCCUGCAAUGGUGUGGUUGCCAGCAUCGGGUGUGCUGCCAGAACACUGUGAGCAAGAGGGCCUUGCAGUGCCCUCAGUGGCAAGCAGGGAGAGUGCCGCCCCUACACCUCGAGCAAGAGAGCCUGUCAGCACAGGCAUCACAUCAUAAGAGGACUCUACAUUGCCUUGCUUGCCAGCAGGGGGUGUGGUGUCACGACAUUGUUUGCAAGAGGGCCAUGUAGUGCCCUGGAUGCCAGCAGGGGAUGCAGGUCACCACACUAUAAGAGGGCACUGCAAUGGCCCGAUUCGCCAGCAGGGGGCGCGAGCACAGCACCAUGAGCAGGAGGGCCCUGCAGCGCCCGGUCUUUUCAGAUUCCUGAGAUUCUGUCUUCCGUGCGUCCCGGGUCUGUGGAGUUGCGUCCUCUUCAGUGCAUACCUCGGGCGGGGGCCUCUGCGAGUGUGGAGCUGCGUCUUCUUCAGCACAGACCCGGGGGUGUCGUUCGGGGGGCACCGCGAUGGCGAAGCUGCGUUUUCCUUAGCACCGACCCUGCUAGCAUUGUGCAGUCAGAGCAGCGUUGUUAGCGGAGUCCUCGGGGACACCACUCGCUUUGUGACGACUCCAGGCCGUGUCCACGAAACACAUGGGCUAGUAGGCUUCGUGUUCUUUUGCAUUUCCAGAACGAUGUCGCUGAACACUUCGUCUUCUUACUUUAAGUGGUGCAGUGGGACAGCCACCAGGGGGUGCGUUUCCAUCGUCCGCACCGUGAGCAGCAAGUGCCUGCAGUGCCCCCAGCCGCCAGCAGAGGGCGCGCCAGCCAAGCUUUUCUAAUUCCAAGGCCCCAGCCUCCUGCCCAUUUCCUCUGCGCAGGCUCCUGCAAGGGCAGGACCGGGGUUCUCCUCACCACAGACCAGGGGUUGCCCCUCACUUUGGGACACCUCGAGGCUGCAUCCAAGGUGAGUAAAAUCUUUUCUGUUUGCCGCCCUGACUGCUGAGGGGCAGAGAUCCUUCGUGUGGAAAAUGAGAAACCAAAAACCCCGGUGAACCCAGCGCAGCCGAGGUUCUUUCCCUAUACCCAAGGCGAGAAGGCUUCGGGGCCACGCUGCAGGCUGGGAAGAGAAAUGCAGCGUCAGGAGAGCAACUACAACACCCCCCACACUGAUAAUAACCCCCUGUAAUACCAGUAUUGCUCCGUCUGUGGUGCUGGUGUUAGCACCCGUUGUACAGACGUCACACCCGUUAUGGGAAGGUGGCAGUCGCUGUGCAGGUCUGAUCCCGGGACACGGAUGUAUCUCUUACAGCGCCCAGAACGCCCGGAACUUCUGUGAGUGGGCACAUAACACCCAGAACGCCCGGAACUUCUGUGAGUGGGCACAUAACACCCAGAACGCCCGGAACUUCUGUGAGUGGGCACAUAACACCCAGAACGCCCGGAACUUCUGUGAGUGGGCACAUAACACCCAGAACGCCCGGAACUUCUGUGAGUGGGCACAUAACACCCAGAACGCCCGGAACUUCUGUGAGUGGGCACAUAACACCCAGAACGCCCGGAACUUCUGUGAGUGGGCACAUAACACCCAGAACGCCCGGAACUUCUGUGAGUGGGCACAUAACACCCAGAACGCCCGGAACUUCUGUGAGUGGGCACAUAACACCCAGAACGCCCGGAACUUCUGUGAGUGGGCACAUAACACCCAGAACGCCUGUGACACAGUUAGACUAAGGCAGCACCCGGCACAUUCAUAUACCCCCUAGAACAUGCAUGUGUUCUUCAGAGCACACACGUAGUACCCAGAAAGCCGUGAUGUCAGACUCAGUGUGCACAUAUCACCUUGAAUGAAGUGAGACCAGCUAUUCCAACACCUGUAACACUCAUAUAAUCCCCCGGAACAUGCAUGUGUCCCUGAGAGCACGCACGUAUACCCAGAAUGCCGGUGACACUGUCAGAGCGCACAUAUCACCUGGAAUGUAAAAAUGAUACUGUCAGAUUUACCCAACAUAUGUCACACCCGUAUAACCCCUGGACCAUGCAUUUGUCUUUCAGAACACACACAUAUCACCCGGAACAACUGUGACACCAUCAGACUCAGAGCUCUUUUAUAACUUGGAGCACACAGGUGACGUUUUCAGACUAACCCAACACCCGUCACACUCAUAUAAUCCCUGGAACACGUGUAUGUCCCUCAGAACACGUAAUGGCGAGAACUACUAUAACACCAUAAGACUAAUGCAACCCCUGUCACACAACCCCUAGAACACGCAUGUGUCCCUCAGGGAGCACAUAUCACCCAGAACUCCCCUAACACUGUCAGACUAACGCAACAACCAUCACACGUAUAUAACCCCUGGAAUACGCAUGUGUCCCUUGUAACACAAAUAUCACUUGGGAUGUGGACGUGGCCUUUGGAGCAUCUGCAGCACCAAGGAUGGGACCCUUCUCUUGCUGAGGUGCUGGGUUCAUAGCCUAUGCUGGGCUGGGUUUGGGCUGGAUUUGGCGUCUGUUACGAAGUAUGAUAUUGUUGUUUUUGCCUUUCUUAUGUGGUAUUGAUAGGGUCGUUUAAAAAGUAGUUGACUUCCCAGUAAUGUCAUCCUUCUGGGAAACUUGGACUUGCAGUUAGUAUGCCUUUUCCUUUCGCUCCGAUUCCCCAGCAGUUAUUGCCAUGCAAGAUGUGCAGCUUAACAGAAAACACCCCAGUGUAUUUCACCAAAAGUAGAAACACUCCUCCAGGUGACCUCUACGUAACCUUCAAAUCAGAAAAUACACGGCUCCUCUUUCAUUUCCUUUUUUUUUUGGAGAUGGAGUGCUGAUCUGUUGCCAGGCUGGAUUGUAGUGGUGUGAUGUCAGCUCACUGCAGUCUCCACCUCCUGGGUUCAAGGGAUUCUCCCAUCUCAGCCUCCUGAGUAGUGGGAUUUCAGGCACCACCAUGCACAGCUAAUUUUUUCUAUUUUUGGUGGAGACAGGGUUUCUCCAUGUUGACCAGGAUGGUCUUGAUCUUUUGAUCUUGUGACCCGCCUCGGCCUCCCACAGUGCUAGAAUUACAGGCAUGAGCACUGUGCCCAGCUGAAAAUGCAUGAUUUCUGUGUGAAAGUCCAGUCCACAGACCUACUUCACUGCCCAUCCCAUUUGGCAGAAAAAUGUCUCUUUUCAUGUGGGUCCAGUUUUACUUUUUGGGAAUUGUUCCUUACACUCUCAUUUUUAUUUAGAUGGAGUUUUGCUCUUUUUGCACAGGCUGGAGCGCAGUGGCACAAUGUCUGCUCACUGCAGCCUCCGCCUCUCAGGUUCAAGAGAUUCUCCUACCUCAGCCUCCCAAGUAGCUGGAAUCAUAGGCAUCCACCACCACGCCUGGCUAAUUUUUUGUAUUUUUAGUAGAGACGGGAUUUUACCAUGUGGGCCAGGCCGGUCUCAAACUCCUGACCUCAGGUGGUCCACCCACCUCGGCUUCCCAGAGUGCUGGGCAUAAUUACACCAUGCUCUCUCAGUUUUCACAGCCUUGACAGAUAUAAAGAGCAGAGAUGACUCCACACUGGGUCUACCCAGCCUUUCAUCCUGAACAGAUGCAGACCCCGCAUUUCCAGUAGGAAUACCCUGGACUGGUGCCACAUUCUCCUCAGUGCAGCCCACCUGGAGGACCUUUCAUCCAUCCCACCACCACUGGCGAUCUCACUUGAUAAUGGCAGAAUACUUAUUUACAAUCACAAAUUUCAUCCUGUCAAGUUCUGUAUUUACCUUUGCCAGUGGUUUCUCAAUGGCCUUAGAACCAUGGCCUCCAGACCCUGAGUGCUCCUGCCAGCUGCUCUCUCCCAUCUAGUCUGCUACACCUGCCUGCAGUCCCACUCAGGGGGACAUGGGCUCCUGGGUGUCUCGGUGGGGAUUUUAUGUGUGUGCUGCCAGCCCAUUCACCCAGUGACUACCUUAGGUUUGUUAAGGCUUUGUCUAGAUGAGUUCUUAAAGCCAUAGCAGUUAUGUAAUCUAAAAGUAGAAGAGUUAAUAAUGUGAUUUUUUUCUAAAGUCAAGGAAAUAAUCUAUUAUUUACUAUAUCAUCUGAGAUGACCAUCAGUUUUUUUUUUUUUUUUUUUUUUUUUUUGGAGAUGGCAUCUCCCUGUGUUGCUGAGGCUGGAGUGCACUGGCACAAUCUCUGCUCACCAUAGCCUCCACCUCCUGAGUUCAAUUAAUUUUCAUGCCUCAGUCUCCUGAGUAGCUGGGACUAUAGGCACCUGCUGCCACACCCAGCUAAUUUUUGUAUUUUUGGUAGAGGUGGGGUUUCACUAUGUUGGCUAUGUUUGUCUCAGACUCCUGACCACAUGAUCCACUUCUCUUGACCUCUGAAUGUGCUAGGAUUACAGGCGGUAGCUAGCAGGCCCAGCCUAUUUUUAACUUUUUGAGGGAAUAGCAAACUAUCUUAAAAGUAAGCUGCACCAUUUUGUGUUCCACAUACAGUACUUAAAGGUUGUGAUUUUGCUCUGACCUUGCUGACACUUAUUUUAUAUUUCUUAAAUCAUAGCCUUUCUAGUGUGUGAAGGAGUGUGUCAUUGUGAUUUCAGUUUAGAUGGCCAUAAUGAUAAUGCUAUUGAUCAUCUUUUUAUGUGUUUGUUUUCCAUCUGUAUGUUUUAUUGGCG